GGGAUUGAACCCAAGGACACUGUACCGCUGAGCCACACCUCUAGCCUUUUUUAUUUUUUAUUUUGAGAUAGGAUCUCACUAAGUUGCCUAGGCUGGCCUCAAACUUGGGAUCCUCUUGCCUCAGCAUCCUGAGUUGUCACUGGAGUCACAGGGGUGCACCACUUGAGAUGGAGGGAAAAAAAUUAUUUUUUCUUUUUUGCCAUGCUGGGGAUUGAACUCAGGGCCUUCUGCCUGCUCGGCAAGCACUCUUUCACUAAACUACAUUCCUGUCCUUAAAAGUUUUUAAUUUUGAUGAAGUACAUUUCAUCAAUUUUUUUCUUUUAUGGAUUUAUGUUUUUUGGUAUGAAGUCUAAGAACUCUUUGCUUAGCCUAGAUCCCAAAGGUUUUCUCCUCCAAUUUUCCUAAACUUUUUAUAAUUUUGUGUUACCAACUAUACCUAGGACCAAGUUUAUUUUGAGUUUAAUUUCAGUAUAAGGUGUAAGGUUUGGGUUGUUUUCUGUUUUGUUGUUUCCCCAGCGCUGGGGAUCAAUCCCAGGUCCUCAUGCAUGCCAGGCAAGCACUCUACCAAAGGGCUACAUCCCUAGAUACCCCCAUCUCACCCUGGGUUUUUGUUUUGUUGUUUUGUUGUUAGUUUUACUAUAGAUGUCCAGUUAUUCCAGCACAAUUCGUUGGAGAGACUGAUCUUCCUCCACUGAAUUGCUUUUAUAUCUUUGGAUAUAUUUUGUGUCUGAUUUCAUAGUUCUGUCCUUCUGUUAGUACCACAGUCUUCAUUAUUAUAUCUCUAUUCUAAUUCCUGAAAUACUCACGGUUGCUCCAGAUCCUAUCCUGAAAUACUCACGGUUGCUCCAGAUCCUAU
rnacentral:lncRNA from 1 species